UACGUAGGGUGCAAGCGUUAAUCGGAAUUACUGGGCGUAAAGCGUGCGCAGGCGGUGAUGUAAGACAGAUGUGAAAUCCCCGGGCUCAACCUGGGAACUGCAUUUGUGACUGCAUCGCUGGAGUGCGGGAGAGGGGGAUGGAAUUCCGCGUGUAGCAGUGAAAUGCGUAGAUAUGCGGAGGAACACCGAUGGCGAAGGCAAUCCCCUGGGCCUGCACUGACGCUCAUGCACGAAAGCGUGGGGAGCAAACAGG
rnacentral:rRNA from 1 species